rnacentral:rRNA from 1 species
UACGUAGGGGGCAAGCGUUGUCCGGAAUCAUUGGGCGUAAAGGGUUUGUAGGCGGAAAUGCAAGUCAGAUGUAAAAGGCAGUAGCUUAACUACUGUAAGCAUUUGAAACUUGAUAUCUUGAGAAGAGUAGAGGUAAGUGGAAUUUUUAGUGUAGCGGUGAAAUGCGUAGAUAUUAAAAAGAAUACCUGUGGCGAAGGCGACUUACUGGGCUCAUUCUGACGCUAAGGAACGAAAGCGUGGGUAGCAAAUAGG